UGGAAUCAGGAAGUUAUUCUAUAUCGUUUUGCUUAUCACCGAUGUAGAAGUGAACCCCUCAUAUGUGUCCCGUGAACACGCUAGGUUAAAUACUCGGGGCCAAGGCCUCUUCGCUCUCUUCCUCCUUCGUCUUCGUCUUCGCUGUCGCCACGUCUCGCGCUCAAGUGCUCUCUACCGCGCUCGAUAGACUCUCUUCCUCCUUCGUCUUCACCAUGCGACGUCGUUGGGCGCGAGUGCGAGGAGUUAGAACGCCGGCAGCGAGAAGAGGCAGGGUCACAGUCAUAGGCACAAUCUGAGCGAGUGCACUUCGGAUCUGAGCGAGUCGUGUUCAACGCUGCGCGGUAACAGUGGCAGCAACACGCUACUCUACACGCACGUGAUCGCGUUCACGCUGUACUAGUUGGAGACCAUAACGAACAGCUUCCGCGGCGACUACAUCCUCGGCGAGGGAGGGUUCGGGACCAUUUACAAAGGCUACAUUGAUGAGAACGUGAGAGUGGGACUCAAAUCACUACCUGUAGCGGUCAAAGUGUUGAAUAAGGAGGGACUGCAGGGACAUCGCGAGUGGCUCACGGAGGUGAAUUUUCUAGGGUAGCUUAGCAUCCUAAUCUGGUGAAGUUGAUUGGGUAUUCCUGGAACUCUUCUUCAGAUCUUUCAGGUCAUUGGAAGUGAGGGUUGGGGUGGAUCUACUAGUAGCCAUGGACUUGAUGGUUCUCCAACUAACUGUUGGUCAAACUUAGCUGAUAUGGCAGCCAAUCCUUUCCAUGCAUUAUUCUACCUUGUGUUUAUGUUGUCUACCUGUGCCUUGUUCUCUAAAACUUGGAUUGAAGUCUCUGGUUCAUCUGCUAGAGAUGUUGCAAAGUAGCUGAAGGAACAACAAAUGGUAAUUCCUGGACAUCCGGAGUCGAAAGUUAUGAAUCAUGUAAUAUACAUAUUGAAUCAUUGAUGAUUCAAAAGUUAAAUUGGCGAUUCACCCUCCCCUCCCAUCUAUUUAUUUAUUUUUUUGGUUGCAUUUGUUGCUGUUUAUUGAGUCACAGAUUUCCUUUGGGUUUGAAAAGCAUGUUUUUUUUUAAUGAAGUUCUUGAAUAUAGAAUACAGGUAUGAUACUUUUGCACA